AGGGACCUCCAGGCAUUGAGGGAGAGCCCGGUCCACAAGGAGAGCCAGGUGCCAAGGGAGACCCUGGACCAGCAGGCAGUGUUGGAGGAUCUGGAGAACCAGGAUUAAGGGGUGAACCAGGAACUCCUGGAGAAGAUGGUCUUCAAGGAAAAGAUGGAGCAAAGGGAAACAUAGGAGAUAGAGGACCUCCUGGAGAACCUGGGGACCAAGGAGAGGCAGGUUUACCAGGAAUUGUAGGACCUUUGGGUGGAC